rnacentral:rRNA from 1 species
GACGAACGCUGGCGGCGUGCUUAACACAUGCAAGUCGAGCGGAAAGGCCCCUUCGGGGGUACUCGAGCGGCGAACGGGUGAGUAACACGUGAGUAAUCUGCCCUUGGCUUUGGGAUAACCACCGGAAACGGUGGCUAAUACCGGAUAUGACGGGCUCCGGCAUCGGGGUUCGUGGAAAGUUUUUCGGCCAGGGAUGUGCUCGCGGCCUAUCAGCUUGUUGGUGGGGUAAUGGCCUACCAAGGCUUCGACGGGUAGCCGGCCUGAGAGGGUGACCGGCCACACUGGGACUGAGACACGGCCCAGACUCCUACGGGAGGCAGCAGUGGGGAAUAUUGGACAAUGGGCGGAAGCCUGAUCCAGCAACGCCGCGUGAGGGAUGACGGCC